CCUGCCAGGCCCGGCGGAAGUGAGCCGCCCCCGGGCGCUUGGAAACUUCCCGUGCGCAAAGGCCGGCAGGACACGGUCUCUUGACACCACAUUAGCUCAUGGGCAUUAACCAGCUCGUCUUGGAACAAAGCAGACGAUUGUUGAAACAACGGCGCUACCGUCUGUCCCGUUUGGAAGGGAGAGAUGAAGGUGACCCACCUCAGCUCUGCUUCCUUUUCUCGACCUAGAAAUGUUAAGCAUUAGCCUGUUUUUACCCGAUUUCUUUCUUGAUCCAUCCGUACACCCUGCACCACCUCACCAGUUACUCUUAAAUCCGGAGAAUGUCCCGUGUUGAGACCCCACACUUCAAAGCACAACUUAGCCCACCGAAAGGCAGGUGGGCCUCAACUUCCUCUUCUGCAAUCACCUAACAGGUCAGAUCUCUGUUCUGGAAUCUCAUGUGGGGAAGUGACUAUUCGCCCUUAAUUCCCUCCUACUCCCACACUGAAACAAUUUCUACAGGAAUUACGGGGAACAGACAGAAUAGGCUGCACAUAAGCCAAAAUUAAACCUUUUGGGGAGGGGGAAAUUCACCAAACAGAACCCGUUAUGUACCGACCGUGGGGAUAAGGAAGCACAAUCCCUUGAAGGAUCUACAAGCCAGGGCUGGCCAGGACAAGUGAGCAUUCCAGAGAAUUUCUGCAUGAUCAGCUGUUCAUCUUUUUAACAGAAUGGCAUUCUUCAAUUCAUCUGGAAAGGAUACUUCCUUUAAGUGUGCAAUUCAGAGUCUCUGAUGACAGGGUUAAUUGGGAGACAUAUAUGGAAAAAUGCUGUAUACCACGUUUGGUUUUAAGAUAGCUAAUAUUCUGAGCUUAAAGUUAUUUCACCGAUCAUCAGAUGUGUGCACAAGGUUAUCGGCAAGGAAGCCAACGCAGGUCUCUCAGAGGAGGUAGGAGUAGAGGCAGAGGCCAAAGAAACUGACAUCAAAUACCAGUUUCAUCACAAAUCAAUGAUGUAUCCUUGAUAGUAAACAUACCUAACUUCCAUUGUUAUAUGAAAAGGGGGGAUAAGUGUAAGAUCUUAAACUUCCAUUAUCUUAAACAGACAUCUUUGGUCUUACAUAAGAUUUACUGUGUAGAUUUUUUUCCCUCUGAAUUCACUGUAACCGUUAAAGUAAACUAUACUUUGUGGUCGGCUUAUAA